rnacentral:lncRNA from 1 species
AUGGACCCAGCAGCAUUCAACCCGCCCAAGGAACUCCGGGAGGAUAUAGUUUACUCUGUGGACAGAUUAAUUAACGUUUGGCUGGAGCACGAGGGGAGGGAAGUUCGCCAAGCCAUAGCUAAUCGGCUACAGCGCUUGGUUUCCGGUCUCCCCUGGCUGCUCAGCUCACUUCACCCGCUCGCACAGGGUUUCAUUCUGAACGAGCUCUGUCUUCACCCCCCGACUGCUACCACCCACCCUGCAACUCACGCUUCCCUGUCUGGUCCGACGGAGGAUGUUCUGCCCGGCCCGUCAACCCAGCCUUCAAGAGGGAAACGGCGCUCACCCUGCCGACGCUCCUCGCCACAGUCGUACCUAGGGAUUUCUGAGCGGCCGGCUGUGGUGAGUGGACAGGACAAUAUUAUUGGUCUGAACUGCGGGCCUGUUUACUCCGGGGUAAUGUGCUGUACGGCAAAGGACAAUGACUGUUUAUCACCUCAAGCUCAGUUAGCCGCCCGGCCAGAGACUCAGUUAGCCGCCCAGCCAGAGGCUCAGUUAGUCGCCCGGCCAAAAGUCCAGUCGCCACCUCCACCACAUUCAGCCUCACAAUCCAUGGCUCAAUUACAGCCACAGCCAGACGUAUUACAAACCAUGUUACAAUCCCUAGCCCAGUCAGUAGCCCGGUUGGCAGAAGAAUCAUUAGCCUUGUCAUCCGUUCAGUCCCCAACUUCUCCACCAUUAUUGUCUCAACCUUUACUUCAGUCGCCCUCAGCUCAGCCACCUGUUCAGCCAUCAUCUUCACUGACUCCUCCUGUACAGCAAGCUAGGUUGAUUCAACCCGAGAGAAACCGUUGUUCACCCAUUCGUUCCAGGCAGAGAGAAAAACCAAACAAUCCUGUAGACAUUCCUCAAGAGCUGGCCAGUUCUGAGACUGAGAUACACUCCAGGGCCUCCCCAGAGGCUGGGUUUCAGCCCCCAGCAGACUCUGGACCCCUGGAGGUUAAGAAGCCAGCAGAGGACUGCACCCGGCCGCCGCUGCCUGAGCAGAGUCAAUGCUCUGUGCAGCUGCAGUCUGCUGUGUGUUUGCCAGAGGCCCGUGUGCCUGCUGGUUCUGUUUUGUCCCUGCCAGAGGCCCGUGUGCCUGCUGGUCCUGUUCCGUCCCUGCCAGAGGCCCGUGUGCCUGCUGGUCCUGUUCCGUCCCUGCCAGAGGCCCGUGUGCCUGCUGGUCCUGUUCCGUCCCUGCCAGAGGCCCGUGUGCCUGCUGGUCCUGUUCCGUCCCUGCCAGAGGCCCGUGUGCCUGCUGGUCCUGUCCCGUCCCUGCCAGAGGCCCGUGCGCCUGCUGGUUCAGCUCUGUGUUUGCCAGGGGCCCCGGUGCCCACUGGUUCUGAGACUGUUUUAGCUGGGGGGCCCGAGGAGCCCGUCCAGCUUCCGGCCUCGUCAGCUGGAGGGCCCGAGGAGCCCGUCCAGCCUUCUGCUUCGUCAGCUGGAGGGCCCGAGGAGCCCAGCCAGCCUCCUGCCUCGUCAGCUGGAGGGUCCGAGGAGCCCGUCCAGCCGCCAGCUGCAGCCUCAUCACCCUCGCCAGCUGCAGCCUCAUCACCCUCGCCAGCUGCAGCCUCAUCACCCUCGCCAGCUGCAGCCUCAACACCCUCGCCAGCUGCAGCCUCAUCACCCUCGCCAGCUGCAGCGCCAGCUUCAUCAGCGUCGCCUGCGGCGCCAGCUGCAGCCUCAUCCUCAUCUGCUACAGCGCCGCCAGCGGCAGCAGCCUCAUCCGCACCGCCUGCAGAAGCCUCCUCAUCUGCUUCAGCGCCGCCAGCAGCAGCAGCCACAUCGGCGUCACCUGCUGCAGCGCCUCCGUCUCCGGCUUCCACGCCGCCACCAGCUGCAGCCUCAGAGUCUUCAUCCUCGCCAGCUGCAGCCUCCUCAUCAGCUGCAUCACCCACGCCGUCGCCUGGUCCAGUUUCAGCUUCAUCCGCGUCGCCUGGUCCAGCUUCAGCUUCGCCCGUGUCGCCUGCAGCAGCCGCAGCUUCAUCCACGCCUGCAGCAGCCGCAGCCUCUGCAUCCGCUUCGCCUUCGUCUGGUCCAGCCUCUGCUUCAGAAGCCUCUGCCUCGUCUGGUCCAGCCUCUGCUUCAGAAGCCUCUGCCUCGUCUGGGUCAGCCUCUGCUUCAGAAGCCUCUGCCUCGUCUGGUCCAGCCUCUGCUUCAGCUUCAGCUUCCGCCUCGCCUGGUCCAGCCUCCGAGUCUUCCGCCUCGCCUGGUCCAGCCUCCGAGUCUUCCGCCUCGCCUGGUCCAGCCUCCGAGUCUUCCGCCUCGCCUGGUCCAGCCUCCGAGUCUUCCGCCUCGCCUGGUCCAGCCUCCGAGUCUUCCGCCUCGCCUGGUCCAGCCUCCGAGUCUUCCGCCUCGCCUGGUCCAGCCUCCGAGUCUUCCGCCUCGCCUGGUCCAGCCUCAUCGUUUGCUUCGCCAUCACCUGAUCCAGCUGCAGCCUCGUCCUCAUCUGCAGCGCCACCAUCUCCGGCUUCCACGCCGUCGCCUGCAGCGCCACCAUCUCCGGCUUCCACGCCGUCGCCUGCAGCGCCACCAUCUCCGGCUUCCACGCCGUCGCCUGCAGCGCCACCAUCUCCGGCUUCCACGCCGUCGCCUGCAGCGCCAUUCUCGUCUGGUCCAGCCUCCGAGCCUCCAGCUUCGCCUGGCCCAGAUUCAGCAUCAGCUCCAGCGUCGCCUGCAGCAGCAGCCUCCUCGUCGCCAGCUCCAGCGUCGCCAGCACCAGCACCAGCUUCAGCUACGGCUUCGUCCUCGCCUGGUCCAGCCUCCGCUUCAGCUUCAACGUCUCCUGCUCGUCCUGCUCGUCCUGUCAGUCCUGCUCGUCCGGUCCGGCCGCUUUCCAGGCCAAUGACUGGACGUCCUUGCCGUCGUGGACGGCCCCCUUCCGGGCCGAUGAUUGGGCAUCGCCGCCACUGCCUCCCGCGUGGCCGGCCUCCAGACUGCCUUCGUUUACCUCUCCGCCGUUGCCGCCAGCACGGUCGGCCCCAGAACUGUUUCUACACCGUUGCCGUCCACACGGUCGGCCCCCAGAACUGUUUCCACGCCAUUGCCUACUGCGUGGCCGGUCUCCGGACCUGCCCCACUGCCGCUGCCUUUCGCAUGGUCGGCCUCCGGAACUGA